rnacentral:rRNA from 1 species
GGAGGCAGCAGUGGGGAAUUUUCCGCAAUGGGCGAAAGCCUGACGGAGCAAGACCGCGUGGGGGAAGAAGGCUCUUGGGUUGUAAACUCCUUUUCUCUGGGAAGAACANAAUGACGGUACCAGAGGAAUCAGCAUCGGCUAACUCCGUGCCAGCAGCCGCGGUAAKACGGAGGAUGCAAGCGUUAUCCGGAAUGAUUGGGCGUAAAGCGUCCGCAGGUGGCARUUCAAGUCUGCUGUCAAAGACCGGGGCUCAACCUCGGAAAGGCAGUGGAAACUGAACAGCUAGAGUAUGGUAGGGGCAAAGGGAAUUCCUGGUGUAGCGGUGAAAUGCGUAGAGAUCAGGAAGAACAUCGGUGGCGAAGGCGCUUUGCUGGRCCAUAACUGACACUCAGGGACGAAAGCUAGGGGAGCGAAUGGGAUUAGAUACCCCAGUAGUCCUAGCCGUAAACGAUGGAUACUAGGUGUUGUCUGUAUCGACC